rnacentral:lncRNA from 1 species
UCCCUUUAACUUUUUUGAAGGAAUUGUGAGGUUGUAGUGUUGUGUGCUUUAGUGCACAUUUUAAAAGUGUGUUCAUUUGCUGGGUGAUUCUCUCCCCGCUGCAUUUUUAUCCUGCUGUUCAGACAGUCAUUUUUUGUCUCCCAGAACAGCUCUAAACAAUCAAGAAAGAGGGGCAGGAUUUCCCAUUGAGCAUCCAAAGCAAAAAGCCAAGAAACAGAAAGAAGACAAACAGGAGGAGUCAGCCCUAGUCCUGGGGCUACAAACACAGACAUAGGGUGGCAAGAGGUGAAAGUCUAUGGCAAUUCCAGAGGUACCUUAUGGAGAAAUGAGGAGAGUUGCAAUUGCACAAUAAAACGCUCAACAACAUGCCUUGGCAAUGCCUAUGUGCUCAGUUAGGAAGUCACCCCACCUCUGUGACCUAUUAUGCACCUUCAGGUUAAUUCUGACUUUAUGGAAGCCAUUCCCAGGGUUUCCUGGGAAUAGAGUGCUGUACUUAGAACUGUAAAGGGACGUGGUGGCGCUGUGGGCUAAACCACAGAAGCCUCUGGGCUGCAGGGUCAGAAGACCAAGCAGUCGUAAGAUCGAAUCCACGCGACGGAGUGAGUGCCCGUCGCUUGUCCCAGCUCCCGCCAACCUAGCGGUUCGAAAGCAUGUAAAAAUGCAAGUAGAUAAAUAGGGACCACCUCGGUGGGAAGGUAACAGCGUUCCGUGUCUAAGUUGCACUGGCCACGUGACCACAGAAAGAUUGUCUUCGGACAAAACGCUGGCUCUAUGGCUUGGAAACGGGGAUGAGCACCACCCCCUAGAGUCGAACACGACUGGACAAAAAAUUGUCAAGGUGAACCUUUACCUUUACCUUACUUAGAACUGUACAUUCAUCUCUUCCAGGGAUGCGCCUGGACUGUGUCGUUUGCCCAAGGCUGUAAAGGCUGCCUUUUCUCCCAAGAGGCUUCAUAGGGAAUUGAAGUCCCAGCCUCUGCCAGAUGCCCAACGCAAGGAGCUCUUCAGGCCAGCCACGGCCUCUCCCAUCUCACUUGAUAUUUACGAACAGCAACAACAAAGCUGACCCUCAGACUGAAAUUCCAAACCAUUUCAACAAUAUCAGGAGGAGUGCUUCUUGUGAAGUUCUUAGUACCAUCUGUGUAUAUGUGCUUAUACCUUCUCCUCCCACCUGCAGCGAGUUAAUGAUCCAUGCUUACUCCCAGGUAAAUUUCAUCUCAGACCCAGAGU